rnacentral:rRNA from 1 species
GACGAACGCUGGCGGCGUGCUUAACACAUGCAAGUCGAACGGAAAGGCCCUGCUUUUGUGGGGUGCUCGAGUGGCGAACGGGUGAGUAACACGUGAGUAACCUGCCCUUGACUUUGGGAUAACUUCAGGAAACUGGGGCUAAUACCGGAUAGGAGCUCCUGCUGCAUGGUGGGGGUUGGAAAGUUUCGGCGGUUGGGGAUGGACUCGCGGCUUAUCAGCUUGUUGGUGGGGUAGUGGCUUACCAAGGCUUUGACGGGUAGCCGGCCUGAGAGGGUGACCGGCCACAGUGGGACUGAGAUACGGCCCAGACUCCUACGGGAGGCAGCAGUGGGGAAUAUUGCACAAUGGGCGGAAGCCUGAUGCAGCAACGCCGCGUGCGGGAUGACGGCCUUCGGGUGGUAAACCGCUUUCGCCUGUGACGAAGCGUGAGUGACGGUAAUGGGUAAAGAAGCACCGGCUAACUACGUG